UGCCAGCAGCCGCGGUAAUACAUCGGGGUCAAGUGGUCAGGAUGAUUAUUGGGCCUAAAGCAUCCGUAGCCGGCUCUGUAAGUUUUCGGUUAAAUCUGUACGCUCAACGUACAGGCUGCCGGGAAUACUGCAGAGCUAGGGAGUGGGAGAGGUAGACGGUACUCGGUAGGAAGGGGUAAAAUCCUUUGAUCUAUUGAUGACCACCUGUGGCGAAGGCGGUCUACCAGAACACGUCCGACGGUGAGGGAUGAAAGCUGGGGGAGCAAACAGGAUUAGAUA
rnacentral:rRNA from 1 species